AACAAACGCUGGCGGCGUGCCUAAUACAUGCAAGUCGAACGGGGAAAGCUUUCGGGUGAGUACUAGUGGCGCACGGGUGAGUAACGCGUGGAUAUUCUGGCUUAGAGUGGGGGAUAACUAGUCGAAAGAUUAGCUAAUACCGCAUAAGACCACAAGAACUGCGGUUCAAGGGGUCCAAGGUUUUUCGCUCUAAGAUGAGUCCGCGUAAGAUUAGCUAGUUGGUAGGGUAACGGCCUACCAAGGCGACGAUCUUUAACUGGUCUGAGAGGAUGAUCAGUCACCCUGGAACUGAGACACGGUCCAGACUCCUACGGGAGGCAGCAGUAGGGAAUAUUGCAUAAUGGAGGAAACUCUGAUGCAGCGACGCCGCGUGAGUGAUGAAGGCCUUCGGGUCGUAAAGCUCUGUCGCAGGGGCAUAACACAAUGAAGGUACCCUGUAAGAAAGGAUCGGCUAACUUCGUGCCAGCAGCCGCGGUAAAAC
rnacentral:rRNA from 1 species